rnacentral:sRNA from 1 species
UUUAAUUUUAUAUAUAGUAACAUUAUACAUACCACAUAACAUUUUUGGUUUUAUAUAAUCUUUUCUAAAUUAGGAUGAUUUGAUAUGUUUAAUAUUAGUGGUCUUAAAAAAUAAUUAAUUAAAGAUUUAACCCGUAUUAAAACGGUGGAUUAAUUAUAUUUUACUUUUUUAUUAAUGUUGAUUCAAAAACCCGUCCCUCCAAAUUCGUCUUGCCAAAAAAUCAUUUAUUUUAUUAAUAUUAAUUUUAUUAAUGAUAUGACUCUGAAUUAUAUUCUAAACAUUUUAGCUAAUAACAUCGGAGUGCACCAUAUUUAUUUAAUAGGGGAAUGUAGCAUAUGACCCGAAUACACUUUUAUCCAAAUCCACCAAAAAAGUCUUGCAAAAAUACUAUAGAGAUAAGAAACGAUAGUCGGUUUUGAUAGGUAUAAGAUUAGCAAAUAUAUUAGUUAGCUUAAAUUAGUUAAAGAAUACAAAUUGAAAAGGUAUAUUACAUUAUUCGAAUAUAGUAUCAAAACUUAUAUAACACAGAGAUUUGAUAAAAUUUUAAUUGUUGAAUACUUUUUUUUGUGCUAAUUUUUAUGUGAUUAAGAUUUAAUUGAUUUCAUGUGUAUGUUUUGUUGAUAUUAUCUAUAUUGUUUAGUGUUUAAGAUUAUACGCUUGUAGUUUGAUUGUUAAUUUAAGAGUUUCACUUGUAGUAUUCCAUCUUGUAUUAAUAUCGAUCUAAACCGUCAAUUCUAGGAUUUUCCAGCUUUUAUUAAAAAUUGAAUCACAUCUAAUAUGUUAUUAAUUAUUGUAGUAUAUAAGAUUAUAAAUUUUCAAUAUAAUAUGUAUGAAAUUGAAUAUAAAUAUUUCAAAUUAUGACCCGUUACUCAGUAGAAAGUUUUCUUAAAUCUAUUUUUCACCCGUUAUAAUAUUUUUUCAUGUAUUGAACAGUUUAUAUUCGUUUUUAAAAAUUCAAAUUGUAGCAUAUGCAAAAUAACUCUAAUUCUUUUUUUAUAAUGAUGAUAUUAUUUUUCCGCAAAAAUAAAAUCAUAUAAAGAUGAGAAGUGAACUAUAAUAAUUAAUAAAAAA